GAUGAAGAACGCAGCGAAAUGUGAUAAGUAAUGUGAAUUGCAGAAUUCAGUGAAUCAUCGAAUCUUUGAACGCACAUUGCGCCCGCCAGUAUUCUGGCGGGCAUGCCUGUUCGAGCGUCAUUACAACCCUCAGGCCCCCGGGCCUGGCGUUGGGGAUCGGCGGAGCCCCCCGUGGGCACACGCCGUCCCCCAAAUACAGUGGCGGUCCCGCCGCAGCUUCCAUCGCGUAGUAGCUAACACCUCGCGACUGGAGAGCGGCGCGGCCACGCCGUAAAACACCCAACUCUUCUGAAGUUGACCUCGAAUCAGGUAGGAAUACCCGCUGAACUUAAGCAUAUCAAUAAGCGGAGGA
rnacentral:misc_RNA from 1 species